rnacentral:rRNA from 1 species
CCUACGGGAGGCAGCGGUGGGGAAUAUUGGACAAUGGGGGGAACCCUGAUCCAGCCAUGCCGCGUGUGUGAAGAAGGCCCUCGGGUUGUAAAGCACUUUCAGUGAGGAAGAACGCCUGGUGGUUAAUACCCAUCAGGAAAGACAUCACUCACAGAAGAAGCACCGGCUAACUCCGUGCCAGCAGCCGCGGUAAUACGGAGGGUGCGAGCGUUAAUCGGAAUUACUGGGCGUAAAGCGCGCGUAGGUGGCUUGAUAAGCCGGUUGUGAAAGCCCCGGGCUCAACCUGGGAACGGCAUCCGGAACUGUCAAGCUAGAGUGCAGGAGAGGAAGGUAGAAUUCCCGGUGUAGCGGUGAAAUGCGUAGAGAUCGGGAGGAAUACCAGUGGCGAAGGCGGCCUUCUGGACUGACACUGACACUGAGGUGCGAAAGCGUGGGUAGCAAACAGGAUUAGAUACCCGUGUAGUC